AACAUCACUCUCUCUCUUCUAUGCAUGUUUUCCUCUCUCUCGUCCCAACUACUCUCAUCUGCUUCUUCUAUUGAUCUCAGAAAUCUGUGCUUAAAAUGAACAUAUGGAAUGGAUGCAACCAUAAAGUCAAGAAAAUCUUGCAGAAAAUUGAUGUGAGUGCUCAAAUUUCGAAAUCGUUGGGACUUAAUACAUUUGAAAAUGUUGAGGAUGAUGAUGAAACACAACUUGGCGAUGGUAAUCACAUUCCUUUCUUCCAUGUGAUGUGACUAGAGAUUCUUCAAAUUCUUAUAUUGUGAUUUGGAAUCAUGCCUCAGACAACCUCUAAUAUGUCCUUAGUUUGUUUAUUGUUUGUUCUUUAUUACUUCUCUCCACUGUUGAAUCGAUGUCGCCAAAUUCUUAAUCAAAUUUGGCACCGAUCUCAUCCGUCAAAAUUGUUGGAAAAACAUGGUAAUUCUUUUAUUCCUUCCUGUUUUUCUCUUUCGAAGUGCUCAAAGCGGCCGCCGGCGGCACCUAUUGAAGGUUUAUUGUUCCUUUCUUUUAUUCUAAAAAAUUCUAAAACCUACAUAUUGUGCUAAUUUUUUUUACAGCAUAAUGUGGAUGCACCGGUAAAAGAGGAAUAAGAGGUUUAUCAAGGAGGAAAACAAUUACUAAAAUUAGGUUUUAUCAGUUGUUUUAAAAUUGAUUUUUAGCUUAGAACAACAAUGACAUAGGAAGGAGCACUACAUUUUUGCAGUCUAUUCUUUUUGUUUCUAAAAUAAAUUUAAUAAGGUUCCUUCAAGUUGAGCCCUAAAGUUUAUAGUUAGUAAAGGUUCAGUUAGCAUAUAGUACUCAAAAUAUAAAAGAAAAUGUUAAUCAGUAAGGAUUAUAAUAAGAAUACGGGAAGGAGCUGAGUUUAGUUCAGGGUUUUGGAGCAACUAAUUUUUGUUUGAGUGCUGAUGCAUUUUUGUACUUUUAUGUUUCGGCUGCAAGUCUAUUUCUAUUUUUUUAUUGUUGGCUGCCUUCCAUGUUGUUUUCUGCAGCUGUGUUGUGCACGAUGUGAAUGUUUUCUGCUGGAUUUGUUUUCCGUCUAUGUUUAUGCAACUGCAGUUUUGUUUUGCAGGGUUAUCAGUUCAGCUUCGCUUCUUUAAACACUGUUGAGGUUGUUUUGUGCGUUUUGUUGCCCUGCUGCAGUUUCCUUUGAUAUUGGUUUUUUAGCCAAGAACAACAUUGACAUAUGAAGGUGCAGUGCAUUUUUGCAGUCUAUUCGUU